rnacentral:rRNA from 1 species
AACGAACGCUGGCGGCAUGCCUAACACAUGCAAGUCGAACGAGACCUUCGGGUCUAGUGGCGCACGGGUGCGUAACGCGUGGGAAUCUGCCCUUGGGUUCGGAAUAACUCAGAGAAAUUUGAGCUAAUACCGGAUGAUGUCGCAAGACCAAAGAUUUAUCGCCCAAGGAUGAGCCCGCGUAGGAUUAGCUUGUUGGUGAGGUAAAAGCUCACCAAGGCGACGAUCCUUAGCUGGUCUGAGAGGAUGAUCAGCCACACUGGGACUGAGACACGGCCCAGACUCCUACGGGAGGCAGCAGUGGGGAAUAUUGGACAAUGGGGGGCAACCCUGAUCCAGCAAUGCCGCGUGAGUGAUGAAGGCCUCGGGUUGUAAAGCUCUUUGUCCAGGGACGGAUGAUGACGGUACCUGGAGAAUAAGCCCCGGCGUAACUUCGUGCCAGCAGCCGCGGUAAU